rnacentral:lncRNA from 1 species
GGGUUUGCUGGGGGUAGGCGGCGGAGAUCGUGGAGGAAGGAGAAGGGUUCGCCGGCUGGAGAAUAGGCGGCGGAGGUCGUGGAGGAAAAAAGGGUUUGCUGGGGGGAGGCGGCGGAGGCCGUGGAGGAAGGAGAAGGGUUUCGGGAUGGAGAAGAGGCAGCGGAGGUCGUGGCGACGGGGGAUCCGACUCUCUCCUCUCUCUCCGCAUCUGGCUUAGGAAAAUUGGAGUUGGAGUUGGGGAAUUGGGUAUUUGGUUUGGAGAGUUUGCUGGGGGAAGGCGGCGGAGGCCGUGGAGGAAGGAGAAGGGUUCGCCGGUGGAGAACAGGCGGCGAAGGUCGUGGAGGAAGGAGGGUUUGCUGGGGAAAGGCAGCAGAGGUCGUGGAGGAAGGAGGAGUGUCCGUCGACUGGAGAAUAGGCGGCGGAGAUUGUGGAAGAAGGAGGAGGUUUCGCCGACCGGAGAAGAGAACAGAGACUUGAGCUUUGCCUCGCCGGAGGGGGGGGCUCUGCUGGUGGGGGAGAAGUGGCGGCGGUGGUGGUCGAGAGAUGAGAGAGAGUGAUGAAUCUAAGAGAGAAAGAGAGAAAGUGUGGUGACGUGUGAGAGAGAGAGUGGGGUGUGUGAGAGAGUGGAGUGGUGUGUGUGAUGUGGUGAUUCCGACUGCCACAUAGGCAUUCCGGUUGCCACGUUGACGUGCCGGUUGCCAAAUCAGAUUUGAUUUGGGCGAAUUUAUAAUUUGUGGGAAAUUUGCGAACCAAUUACAAAUUGAUGUAUUUGAAAGUAAAAUUUUAGGGUCGUGAUAUAAAUCAGA